UACGAAGGGUGCAAACGUUAUUCGGAAUCACUGGGCGUAAAGGGUGUGUAGACGGCCUACUAAGUUCGUUGUUUAAUCUUCCGGCCUAACUGGAAGCUCGCAAUGGAAACUGGUAAGCUCGAGGGUGGAAGAGAGAAGUGGAAUUCUCGGAGUAGCGGUAAAAUGCGUAGAUCUCGAGAGGAACACCGAUGGCGAAGGCAGCUUCUUGGUCCACUCCUGACGUUGAGACACGAAAGCGUGGGUAGCAAACAGG
rnacentral:rRNA from 1 species